UAGCAUAUCAAUAAGCGGAGGAAAAGAAACCAACAGGGAUUGCCCUAGUAACGCGCGAGUGAAGCGGCAACAGCUCAAAUUUGAAAUCUGGCUCUCGGGCCCGAGUUGUAAUUUGUAGAGGAUGCUUUUGAUGCGGUGCCUUCCGAGUUCCCUGGAACGGGACGCCAUAGAGGGUGAGAGCCCCGUCUGGUUGGAUGCCAAAUCUCUGUAAAGCUCCUUCGACGAGUCGAGUAGUUUGGGAAUGCUGCUCUAAAUGGGAGGUAUAUGUCUUCUAAAGCUAAAUACCGGCCAGAGACCGAUAGCGCACAAGUAGAGUGAUCGAAAGAUGAAAAGCACUUUGAAAAGAGAGUUAAAAAGUACGUGAAAUUGUUGAAAGGGAAGCGUUUAUGACCAGACUUGGGCUUGGUUAAUCAUCUGGGGUUCUCCCCAGUGCACUUUUCCAGUCCAGGCCAGCAUCAGUUUUCGCCGGGGGAUAAAGGCUUCGGGAAUGUGGCUCUCUCCGGGGAGUGUUAUAGCCCGUUGCGUAAUACCCUGGCGGGGACUGAGGUUCGCGCAUCUGCAAGGAUGCUGGCGUAAUGGUCAUCAACGACCCGUCUUGAAACACGGACCAAGGAGUCGUCUUCGUAUGCGAGUGUUCGGGUGUCAAACCCCUACGCGUAAUGAAAGUGAACGCAGGUGAGAGCUUCGGCGCAUCAUCGACCGAUCCUGAUGUUCUCGGAUGGAUUUGAGUAAGAGCAUACGGGGCCGGACCCGAAAGAAGGUGAACUAUGCCUGUGUAGGGUGAAGCCAGAGGAAACUCUGGUGGAGGCUCGCAGCGGUUCUGACGUGCAAAUCGAUCGUCAAACAUGGGCAUGGGGGGCGACAGACUAAUCGAAUCUUUCUAGUAGCUGGGUUUCUGCGAAGUCUCCCCCUCUCAGGGAA
rnacentral:rRNA from 1 species